CGUCUUGGGCUGGUGAUGGGGACUGCUGUUCGCUGCCGAAGACAGCAUGCCUGCCUCUACUGGGAUGUGAGUACUACUCUCCAGCUCAGGCACAACCCAUAAGUAGACAUUCAGGCCUUGCCUGAACACCUCCAGUGACAGGGAGCUUACCGCCAGGGCCUCCAGGGGCAGGCCACAAAAAGGAAAAGAGGAGGAGGUCUGACCUAGAUCUGACAGCGGAAGGUCCCCAAAGGGACGCAGAACAGAAACGAAGGCUGGAGGCUCAACUACACCGUCAUCAUGAGCAAGGUGAAAGGGAAAACCACGCAGCUUUGCCAGAAUGGAGAUCCCUGCAGCCAGGUGAAGAAGAAAGACACAUGCUUUUGGUGGAGUGCAAACCCCUGCAGCUUUGGUAAAAGAGGCCCAUGCGGCCUUGGGGUGCUCCAUUUGGCUGCGUGGCCUGGGAAGCAGGAGAGACUUUGACUGGAAAAAUGGGUACAAAGAACUCUUGCCAGUGGACCAUGAAAGGGUACCACAGUACUUUGGAUUAACUCGAGAGCCUGCACAGUGACACAGCAGGUGGUGCCAGCGGCCUGAAACACAGACGUGUGCUCUUUUCCUCAUUUACGGCACCCGGAGUUGGAACAGUGGGAGAAGGGAGAGCUGUGUGGGUGUAGGUGUAUACCCUAAAAGACUUUGAUAUUUU